rnacentral:rRNA from 1 species
AUGGGGAAAACAACCCUUGCCCGCCUUGUGUAUGAGGAGAUUGAAAAUAAGUUCCAGUGCCGGGCUUUUGUGUCUGUCACUCCAAGUCCAAACAUGAAGGAGGUUCUCACAAGUAUUCUCCAACAAAUAGGAGCUGAGCCACUUGCUGGCACCGAAGCACGGACGGAGAAACAAAUCGUCCAUGCCAUAUCCAAUUUCCUAGAGGACAAAAGCUACAUAGUAAUAAUUGAUGACAUAUGGCAUCGUGGAGAAUGGGAUGUCAUCAGCAAGUCUUUUCCAGAAAAUAAUCUGGGCAGCAGAAUUGUCAUGACAACUCGUAUUGAUUCUGUACCAAGAGAUGACUUCAUUACUAACAAGCUCUACAUCAGAAUGAAUCCUGAAUGGAAUCGCGGAAACAGAAAAUGGCUCCACGCACUUGUUGAGAAAGAUCUUGCUGCUUGGAUGAAGCUUGACAUGGUUGGCGAAGGUUUUGACUGUGACCAUCCUAUUGUGCACAUGUGUGGUGGUGUGCCAUUAGCACUGCUUUGCAUGUUUUCAGCAAUGAGAAUGGUCCGAGAGGAACAAGAACAGCUAGGUGUGCAUGUAAAGGCAUGUGAUGCGCAAGAUAUGAUUGAGAAGCAAGUUAAGCGAAGUGGAAUUCAGAACACUCCAGGGUUUGAACCGUUGGUAGAGAGUUUGCAGCUUGGCUACGCCGAUCUUCCUCACCAUAUGAUGAAGACUUGCUUGCUAAACUGCAGUAUAUACCCUCAGAAUCACUUUCACAGGGAUCAACUGGUCAUGCGAUGGGUCGCUGAAGGAUUUACUUAUAAAGUGGAUGAAGCAGUAGGUUAUUUUGAAGAGCUUGUCGAGAGAGAAUUACUGAUGCAGGUGAAUGAUGGUAGUACAUACAAAUUGAAUUCGAUGAUGCAAAAUUUCCUUCGAUGGAAAUCACAAGAAGAUAAUUUCAUUACUUACAGUUCUGACAUGACAUCGGCAUAUCCAUGUCGAAUCCAUCGGCUAUGUAUUGACAAGCAUCCAGGUGAUGAUGGUUCACUAGAGGGGGUGGAUCCCUUCUCUGGAUUAGAUUGGUCUCAGAUUCGAUCCCUUGUUGUUUUUGAAGAUGCUGAAAGACUCCCCUUUGAGAAGUUGGCACGCGUGCGACUGUUGGAUCUUCAAUUUAAAACGGCUCUUGGCGAUCAUCAUGUGAAGGAUAUUUGUGGACUGCUCCGUGUGAAGCACCUAUUCGGUCUAGAGGGGGUGGGAAUUAGUGAGCUACCACCAGAAAUAGGAAGGCUACACUAUCUAGAGACCCUGAACGUAAGCAAUACGUCUAUUAGCAAGCUACCCCAUGAGAUUGGGAGACUGAAAAAGUUGAAGAAUCUAUACGUGAGUCAUAGCCCAAGGAUCAGAGAGUUGCCCAGAGAGAUUGGAGACCUGCAGCAUUUAGAGACAUUGUGCAUAUUUGCAACAGAUAUCAGAGAGCUGCCCAGGGACAUUGGGAGACUAAAGAAGUUGAAGACUCUGAACCAUAGUUUUAAAUAG